rnacentral:rRNA from 1 species
UGGGGAAUAUUGGACAAUGGGCGAAAGCCUGAUCCAGCCAUGCCGCGUGUGUGAAGAAGGUCUUCGGAUUGUAAAGCACUUUAAGUUGGGAGGAAGGGUAGUAACUUAAUACGUUGCUAUUUUGACGUUACCGACAGAAUAAGCACCGGCUAACUCUGUGCCAGCAGCCGCGGUAAUACAGAGGGUGCAAGCGUUAAUCGGAAUUACUGGGCGUAAAGAGCGUGUAGGCGGGUAGUUAAGUCAGAAGUGAAAUCCAAUAGCUCAACUAUUGAACUGCUUUUGAAACUGAUUACCUAGAAUAUGGGAGAGGUAGAUGGAAUUUCUGGUGUAGGGGUAAAAUCCGUAGAGAUCAGAAGGAAUACCGAUUGCGAAGGCGAUCUACUGGAACAUUAUUGACGCUGAGACGCGAAAGCGUGGGGAGCAAACAGGAUUAGAUACCCUGGUAGUCCACGCCCUAAACGAUGUACACUAGUUGUUGUGAGGCUCGACCUUGCAGUAGUGCAGCUAACGCUUUAAGUGUACCGCCUGGGGAGUACGGUCGCAAGAUUA